rnacentral:rRNA from 1 species
AUUGAACGCUGGCGGCAGGCUUAACACAUGCAAGUCGAGCGGGGGAGGUUGCUUCAGUAACUGACCUAGCGGCGGACGGGUGAGUAAUGCUUAGGAAUCUGCCUAUUAGUGGGGGACAACAUUCCGAAAGGGAUGCUAAUACCGCAUACGCCCUACGGGGGAAAGCAGGGGAUCUUCGGACCUUGCGCUAAUAGAUGAGCCUAAGUCGGAUUAGCUAGUUGGUGGGGUAAAGGCCUACCAAGGCGACGAUCUGUAGCGGGUCUGAGAGGAUGAUCCGCCACACUGGGACUGAGACACGGCCCAGACUCCGACGGGAGGCAGCAGUGGGGAAUAUUGGACAAUGGGCGGAAGCCUGAUCCAGCCAUGCCGCGUGUGUGAAGAAGGCCUUUUGGUUGUAAAGCACUUUAAGCGAGGAGGAGGCUCUUAAGGUUAAUACCCUUGAUGAGUGGACGUUACUCGCAGAAUAAGCACCGGCUAACUCUGUGCCAGCAGCCGCGGUAAAAC